UCGGCCCAGAGCCUGACGCGGGGCUCGAACUCACGGACCGCGAGAUCGUGACCUGGCUGAAGUCGGAGGCUUAACCGACUGCGCCACCCAGGCGCCCCAACCGUUCACUUUUUUUAUAGAAUCCCUAAAGAGAAUAUUGAAUCGGCACACUUAAAGGUUUCAUCCCUUGUGGCCAGCUUGAAACAAAGCUUUGGCCCAAACUUAUAAUCCAUUUGUCUAAGAAGGUGUUUUAACAACAUUUAGGAAGAAAUACUGUAAUUUUUUUUACUAUGUUGUGUGGGUAAGAAAUUUCAUUGAAAGGUAUUAAGUGUAUAUACAAGAGUCCUUAAAUAUAUGGAAUAUUGGUUUCUUUGAAAGCUGUGGGCACUUUGACUAAUGGAGAGAAAUUUCUUCUUUGGAUAACAUAAUUCAAACUUAGCUGUUGUCAUGCAGUAAAAGAUUUUCCUUCAGAUUCUUUCUAUGAGCAAACUGGUGCCUUGAACAUGGGAUCCAAGUGCCCUGAGGAAACAACAUCUCUUCAUAGGUGGAAACAGGAUUAACAUCAUGAUUUAAUUAUUAUACCAAAUACAUCAUGGAUAAUCUAUGGCCUUUAAUAAACCUAACAGUUAAAGGCUGAACUGGUAAGAAAUGAACUUCAUUUCUGCAUUUAAAAAAUACAUUUAAUCCAAUGGGAAAUAAAAAUGAAUGCUGGGAUAAAAAUUUAAACUUGAUCGUAAAUAAAUAAAAAUUGAAUGAAAUAUAACAAAAGGAUAGGUUGUGUAUUUUAUGUAUUGUGUAUUAAUAUAUAUUUUAGAAAAUUAUUUUUUAUCGUGUCUGUACAACAACUUUGUUGACAUUAUCUGGAAACUGUUUUAGUUACCAAGGAAAGAUAAAUGAGCCUUUAAAUGUACAUAAUACCAUAGAGUGAAACCCAUACUCCUAUACCUUUUGGGAUGCUAGAUUGUGCCAAAUGGCUCAAGGUGGCUCUAAAUUAGGCUCUAAAUUAGACCUCAAGUUUUGAGCAGAGCCACCAAUGGCGGGUUGGGCUUCACCCUAUCCAAGGGUUGACCGGCUAGUAGUUUUCACACAGGAUUUAUGUUAAUAAGCAAAAUAGCAGACCAGCCCAGGUAAAUUAUACUGGCUUAUCUGCUUUCAUCAGCCCUGAGUCUACACCAAAAGAGAAUGAACUCUUGUAUUAAGGAAAUUGACUUUAGGGGCAAUGGAGAAUAAUAAUAACUAUUUCACAGAAUUUUUAGAAGGAUUAAAAGCAAUGAUGUAUAUAAUGUACUUAGCACAAUGUUCGGUGGAAACAGGAGGUACUUAAUAUUUAUUAUUUUUAGUAUAUUAAAUUGUUAAUAAGUGUAUUAGAUUAUUAUUUAAUAUACUAAAUUAAUCAUAUUUAUUAGCUCCUUCUCUCUCCCAAGGUCGAGAUUCACAUGUACGCAGGGUCAGGGACUGUCAGUGAGGAAAGCAUGAUAUAACCAAAAGAAUCAUGUCUGAAUAGUGCUUUAUACACUACAAAAUGCUUUAAUAUGCAUUAUUACACUUGGACCUCAGCUCACCAGCAACCACCCAAAGUGCUCUGUGGGACAAAAGUAAGUACAUGCAGUUUGUGGGUCACUGGGAACCUGGUAAAGAAGGAUGUUAUAUUGUAGCCACACUCCGAGAGGAGGUCUGAUGUCUGAGGGUCCUGACUCUCAGGUAACACCCCCAGUCCAGGCCUCACCCCACGUCUCACAGUCACAAAACUCCAAUCUGGGCAAACAAGUGGAGGGAUUUCGGGAACAGCAGACUUCCAGCGCUAAAACUGGGAAAGUCUCUAGCAAACCAAGAUGGUCAGUCACCCUAAGUCUAAGAGAAGUGAACACCAACCCCCACAGGCCAAGAGUGCAAGAAAGGCAGCCAUCAGAGCCGUAGGAAACGUGCUGCUUAGCACACGCUGUAGGGCACCAAGGUUUCAUGGUGUGAGAACCUUACAUGUUGUUUGAUCUGGGAACACAGCUUCUCAAAGCUCUCAGCUUCCCAAGUGAAGACAGGAACGGGUUACGAAGCAUUUCUCACCAAAGCCCUGUCAGGGGUUCAGUGUUGGUGCCCUUCUCCCUCUAUGGUUCAGUCAUACUCUCCAAAACUUGUAGGUGUGUCCCCGCCUGCACUGGGUGACCACCCACCUCAGGUUUCCCUUCCCAGAAGCAGAUGUCUGUAGGAGGGCCAAGCAGCUUCGCUAAAGCAACUUUACAGCUGUGGCAAGAAACUGUCACAAUGUAAAGUAGAGGGCACCAUCUCCAAGCCUCUCCUUUAAAAAAGUCUAAAAACUCCCACCUGACACAGAAUUAAAGAACUUCAGGGGUGCCUGGUGACUCAGUAGGUUGAGCAUCUGACUGGAUUUCAGCUCAGGUCAUGAUCCCAGGGUCAUGGGAUCAGGCCCCGCCUCAGGCUCCACAAUGAACAUGCAGCCUACUUAGAAGUCUCUCUCUCUCUCUUUCCCUCUGCCCCUCUCCCACCCUCCUCUAAAAUUUAAAAAAACAAAAAACAAAAAAACUUUAGGCCCUAAAAAAUCAUGACAUCUUUUGCUUUCAGUUUUGUUCCUCACCCUUGCAUUAGUUUCAGAGCCUGAUUCUGGAGCUCACAGCACAUUGCUCUGCCGAUUUUGGAUCUGGUGUAUAGGAGUUCACUGAAUUAUCUCCAGAAGAAAUGCUGAGUCAUAAGGCUGUGCAAGCUCAGAAGAGACUAUAUUUAGAAGGAAGUGACUUAUUGGAAAGGAGGAAGUAAAGAAGAAGACAGCAGCGAGAGGAGUUAAUGAUGAUGAAAGAUGGAAGACAUGGUCGUGAAACCAGCCGGUUCCUUCCUUCAGUUUUUGCACCUGUGUUUUAUUGCACUUAAAGGGAGAACACCAAGGUUUGUUUUGUCUUAUUUUUUCUCUUCUUUAGGCAUGGGGGAAAAACUAGGGAAAGAAUGAUGGUAAGAUAGAAAUAAGAAGAGAGAGUUGUGAGUAAAAAUGAAAGAAUUAAUGAAGAGCAAAGACACAGACACCUGAGAACUUAAAAAAAAAAAAAAAAAAGGAAGGAAGGAGAAAA